UUUUGUCGUUUGUUACACAAAACUCAACCGCUGCCGAAGAUGUGUUUGCCGUCGUCGUCGUUGUCGUUGUCGUUGGCGUUGUCGUUGGUGUGUGGCAUGCGACGAUGACUAUGGGAGAAUCCGCCGUCACAGCCGCUCGACACUAUCGCAUGUGAAACAUUCAAUGCCGCCGCUGCCACCACUACCACUACUACUACUACCAACGCAGCUUUGUGGCGAAUGUUUAUAGAUUUUCAGUCGAAUUUUGUUAUUUCACGUACAAAGUGGCGCGCGCGGGCCGCCGCUCUAACAAAUCAAAUCGUAGUGACGCUAGUGAAUAAAUUGUGUCGAAAAACGUAGUAACAAAAAAAAAAAAAAAAAAAAUAAAAAAUAAAUGAACUAAACAAAAACAUAUAAAGUAAUAACGAAGAAAAUUUAGUUUGUGAGAAGUGCAAGCAAGUGAAAAAGGUGGGUUAUAUUGAGAUGCAAAGGUAUUGAUUGCAAUUCGAAUGAAUUCAAGGCGUUUUUGCAAAUACUAAAUGAUUGUUAAAUUCAUAAAAAAUGAAAUGAAACUUUUUCAUACCAUUUAACGACAUUUUUAGGCGGAAACAAAAGUAAUUACGUGCAUAAAUUACAUUACAAUUGAAAAAGUAUCCUCUAAGACCUAAAAAAGUUGGGCAAUAAAUGUGCAACGGAAGUGAGAUAUUAAAUAAAUUAAAUCAUUGAAUAUUUAUUGGAAUUAUCAGUUGUUAGUUGCCGGAUGUUGCCGCCUAAGGAAUAAUUGCAGAAAUGAAAAAGCAAAAAGCGCGAAUUGAAGCAGCAGAGCCUGUCAACGCAGACAACCGUUUAUGGAUAGUGUAAAUUGUAGCAAAGCGAUUAUUUGCGGCAAUAAAAUGCGGCGACUGACUUGGCAUAGAAAUUGAAAAUUAUAAAGUGAACAGCACACAAAACAAAAAAAAAACAAAAACAGUUAAAUUUAAAUAUGAAAAAAAUGCCACCAGAAGCCUGUGAAAAGUGAGCAAUGUAGCAAGUGAUAACGGUUAAAGAUAUGCGUUAUAUUAUGACAAAAAAGUGCAGCAAAAAACUUUCUACUAAAAUCUUAGCUUUCCACAACUUUUGCGUAUUUCAUUCUCAUACGCCUUUCCGCUUAAAAAUUACCAGCAGCGCAAUAAACUUUCGAAAAUGUAAUUGCAAAUUUAAGUUAACACGAAUAAUCAAAUAAAGAGUUGUUAAUGCAAUACUUAAAUGAACCAAUUAUCAGAUCAUUACACGGGCGCGCUCACAUUUCAAUCGACUUUAUGUAAAAAGUUACAGAAAAAUUGAUGAUCCACGCAAGUAGUAAUAAAUACAUGCCUAUGCACAUAACUAUACGCCAUACUGAGAAGCAAACAACAAAAACCAAAAACAAAAAAGUUACAUAAAUUAAAUAAAACCACAAUAAACUACAUUUAUUAUAACAAUACGAAAAAAUUGUGUGGUGCAGCCUUGCGUAAAAAAAUAUUUACAAUUAAACAACAGUAAAAAGGUGAAAUAAUUGCAUUGCAAUUGGUAAUUAAAACACAUUAAUCAGCAGCAUCAAAAGCCGUUACUGCAAAUUACAACACGAACCGUACAACAAAGCGUGCUGAAUUUGCAACGCAUGCGCCACAAUCAACACUUUUCAAAAGAGCAGCAACUAUUGCCGCUUGACAGAUGUACUUGAGCACCAACAGCUGAAAUAGUUAGAAGAAAGAAAGAAAAACCAAAAACAUUAACUAAACAUUAACCACGCGACGUUGCACGCAUACACGUGUCUUCAUUGCACGCAUGCGCAAGCUUCGGCUCUCGCUCUCGCUGUCGUUCUCAUUGGUUUGUGCUCUCACCUGAUAGCAGUGCAUUUUUCGCAGUGGUCACUUGAAUGAGCAGAGUUGCCACGCUGCUACGUCUAAUUAAGACAUUGGAUUAGUGCUUCACAUUUUUCGUUUCAUCAAGAGCCUGUAGCUACAGCCUUCAAAGUGGAUUUAACAAAUUAUAAUAAAUUGCUGCAGUCCAGCAAUCAAUAUUUGCGGCCAGAUUAUCUGGCCGCACCGAAUGCGGUGAGUUUUGUUAUAUGAAUUUAAAUGGUCAGAAAUGAUAUCUGGCAGGAUGUUUCUGUCAAUAUUUAGAAAUCCAAUACACUGACUGGUUUGAAUAAAGCAAUGCAAAAUACGGUAAGCUUUAAUAAUAUACAUACAUAAGAGCGCGUUUAAAUGACUGGCGAAAAUAUGUUGAGUAGC